rnacentral:lncRNA from 1 species
GGAGGGUGUACUGUAGGAGUAGGAGGAGGAGGGUGUACUGCAGGGGUAGGAGGAGGNNGGUGUACAGUAUGAGUAGGGGGAGGGUGUACUGCAGGAGUAGGGGAAGGGUGUACUGCAGGAGUAGGGGUAGGUAGUGUACUAGGCACCCUAAGUACAUACUUUGCGGUCUUCCGUUGCCUUUUUUUAGGCUUGGCUACCCCCUUUCCUUUAUCACGA